rnacentral:SRP_RNA from 1 species
GGCGGCCCCUCGCGCGGCGCCACCCUGCUGAACUCCCCCAGGGCCGGAAGGCAGCAAGGGUAGGUGGGCUCUGGCGGGUGCGCGGGGGGUCCUCUUC